rnacentral:rRNA from 1 species
CGGACGGGUGAGUAGCACGUGGGGCAAUCUACCUUUCGGUGAGGGAUACCGGCGAGAAAUCGCCGACAAUACCGCAUAUGUUUGGCAACAAACAAAGUCGCAAGACGCCGGAGGAGGAGCCUGCGCCCGAUUAGCUAGUUGGUGGGGUAAGAGCCUACCAAGGCGACGAUCGGUAGCUGGUCUGAGAGGAUGAUCAGCCACACUGGGAUUGAGAACGGCCCAG